UAAAGAUUUCCGUGGAGAGGAAC
rnacentral:piRNA from 3 species